GUGCAAUUAAAUCCUUGGACAAUCAUAUAAAUACCUCGUUUGCAAUGAAUUUUCAUUAUAAACAUUUCUGACAUAUCAAGUUCCCCAGUACAUUAGCAAUUAAAUAGCAAAAAUGAUUAGAAUCUUGUUUGCUCUUCUCUUAAUUGGAAUCUUAGCCAUCGCUGCAAUAGAAGCAAGUUGUCGUCAACCACCACAACCUUAUUGCCAAUGUGGUUGUCCAUAUAACCAGUAUGGGUGUUGUCCCUGCUGUGGUUAUUGUCAACAAUGAUGUUCUAAAGUUAUGCAAAUUUUUAAACUAAUAAUAGUUCUUUACAACUAACAAU